AACGGCAGCACGGGAGCUUGCUCCUGGUGGCGAGUGGCGAACGGGUGAGUAAUAUAUCGGAACGUGCCCAGUCGUGGGGGAUAACGCAGCGAAAGCUGUGCUAAUACCGCAUACGAUCUAUGGAUGAAAGCGGGGGAUCGCAAGACCUCGCGCGAUUGGAGCGGCCGAUAUCAGAUUAGCUAGUUGGUGGGGUAAAAGCCUACCAAGGCGACGAUCUGUAGCUGGUCUGAGAGGACGACCAGCCACACUGGAACUGAGACACGGUCCAGACUCCUACGGGAGGCAGCAGUGGGGAAUUUUGGACAAUGGGCGCAAGCCUGAUCCAGCAAUGCCGCGUGCAGGAUGAAGGCCUUCGGGUUGUAAACUGCUUUUGUACGGAACGAAACGGUUCUCUCUAAUACAGGGGGCUAAUGACGGUACCGUAAGAAUAAGCACCGGCUAACUACGUGCCAGCAGCCGCGGUAAUACGUAGGGUGCGAGCGUUAAUCGGAAUUACUGGGCGUAAAGCGUGCGCAGGCGGUGAUGUAAGACAGAUGUGAAAUCCCCGGGCUCAACCUGGGACCUGCAUUUGUGACUGCAUCGCUGGAGUGCGGCAGAGGGGGAUGGAAUUCCGCGUGUAGCAGUGAAAUGCGUAGAUAUGCGGAGGAACACCGAUGGCGAAGGCAAUCCCCUGGGCCUGCACUGACGCUCAUGCACGAAAGCGUGGGGAGCAAACAGGAUUAGAUACCCUGGUAGUCCACGCCCUAAACGAUGUCAACUGGUUGUUGGGUCUUCACUGACUCAGUAACGAAGCUAACGCGUGAAGUUGAC
rnacentral:rRNA from 1 species